UCCGGAGAGGGAGCCUGAGAAACGGCUACCACAUCCAAGGAAGGCAGCAGGCGCGCAACUUACCCACUCUCAGUGAGAGGAGGUAGUAAAGACAAAUAUCGAUACAGGACUCUUAUGAGGCUCUGUAAUCGAAAUGAGUGCAUCUUAAAUCCUACAACAAGGAUCUAUUGGAGGGCAAGUCUGGUGCCAGCAGCCGCGGUAACUCCAGCUCCAAUAGCAUAUAUUAAAAUUGCUGCAGUUAAAAAGCUCGUAGUUGGAUCUGGGUUCUGGUUUGGAAGCUAUGUGUUUGGCGUAGUGGUAUUCGUAUUGCUAUGUUGGACCGUGGUAUUUCUGAGCCGAAUCUUUCAGCUGUGUCUAGUAGCUACUUCGGUGGCGACUGGAUGGCGAUUUAGCUUGUUAGUUCCUUUUUUGGUUCACGGGCUAUUUUGCUAUAUGCUGUGAUGCCCUUAAUCCGGUGUCCAGUGUGGACAGCACGUUUACUUUGAACAAAUUUGAGUGCUCAAAGCAGGCCUUGUGCCUGAAAAGUCUUGCAUGGAAUAAUGGAAUAGGACUUCGGUCCUAUUUUGUUGGUUUAAUAGACCCGAAGUAAUGAUAAAAAGAGACAGACGGGGGCAUUCGUAUGGCAGCGCUAGAGGUGAAAUUCAUGGACCGUUGCCAGACGACCUAAAGCGAAAGCAUCUGCCAAGGAUGUUUUCAUUUACCAGGAGCGAAAGUCAGAGGUUCGAAGACGAUCAGAUACCGUCCUAGUUCUGACCAUAAACUAUGCCAUCUGAUGAUCCGUGGGGCCUCCUUUUGUGAGCCCACGGGCAAUCUCCGGGAAACCUGUAAGGCUAUGGGUUCCGGGGAAAGUAUGGUUGCAAAGCUGAAACUUAAAGGAAUUGACGGAAGGGCACCACCAGGAGUGGAGCUUGCGGCUUAAUUUGACUCAACACGGGGAAACUCACCCGGGCCGGACACUAUGAGGAUAGACAGAUUGAUAGCUCUUUCUUGAUUUGGUGGUUAGUGGUGCAUGGCCGUUCUUAGUUCGUGGUAUGAAUUGUCUGGUUAAUUCCGAUAACGAACGAGAUUCUAACCUGCUAAAUAGUCCAAGUGUAAUUUUGUGGAGUGUAUGCGUCGAAUGAUCUCGGUUGUUCGCGUGUUAUUCCAUGAGCAUUUGGUACUUCUUAGAGGGAUUGAUGGAUAGUCAAGCCAUACGAGAAAGAGCAAUAACAGGUCUGUGAUGCCCUUAGAUGUUCGGGGCCGCACGCGUGCUACACUGACAGUAAAAGAGAGCUUGGUAACCUGGCGCGUAAGCGCUGGGCAAACUUGGCAAUCACUGUCGUGCCUGGGAUUGGGGUUUGUAAUUGUCCCCCAUGAACCAGGAAUUCCUAGUAAGCACAAGUCAUCAGCUUGUGCUGAAUACGUCCCUGCCCUUUGUACACACCGCCCGUCGUUA
rnacentral:rRNA from 1 species